AUUCUCGCCUGGAUCCACUGG
rnacentral:miRNA from 1 species